AACAUAUGGACUUCCCUUUUAGCUAAGAAUAUAGAAGGGAUGAUAUCUGUGUAGACUAGUGAGGUCCCUAUUUUUUUAUGCACCAGAGUUAGAAUUCUGUUUUGCCAAUGCAAGGAAUAAUGUGGGAACUUUAAAGGAAAAUGAGGCAAUUCCACCAAUCGUCUCAGACUUUCUGGUUUCAUAAUGGCACCAUCAUAAAUGGAGACUUAAUUGAACUCUCUUAAUGGAAACCUCCCAUGCUUCGGCCUAAAAACAUCAUCAUCAAUCAAAGAUUAAUCCUGGGAACAAUCUUGUUGCAGCAGGUAACAGUCAAAGGCUGCCUCAUUUACUGCAGAAGAAAUGAUCUCUAGAGUUGAAAAGUUCAAAUCAAAAUUAGGAUUUUGUUGCAAAUAAAGCUUCUAUUGAACAACUCUUUUUUUUUGUUUUUUUAUAAACAUAUCUUAAUUUUCUGCAAAUUUUUAGACUAUUACUUAUAUUCAUGUAUAAAAGAGUGCUUCUGUCAACGGAAAAAAAACAUACUUUUGCUGUUCCAUUUUAGCCUUGUCUGCUCUAUUUUCUUUGCUUCUUAUUACCUUUGGUUUGUAAUCAAAUAAAAACAAAAAUUCAACAACAGGAACCAAUAAACCAAGUGGCUCAAAUACAACGUGCUCUCUUUUCAUGUAACUGCAAGACUUUUUUUGCAAACUCAUAAGCAAUCUGAUUACGAUUUCUGGAAAUUCAUAAAGCACAAAAAUGUAAAACAUUGUCUAUAAGCCGUUCCAACUCAACCACAUACUCUUUUGCGGAAUAAUUUGAGAGUUCCCUUCUACUAUGACUUGCUGCAUACCCAUCCCACUUGAUAUCUCCAACCCCAACAGUAAUGCCAAAAUUUCAGCUAUAUCUACAUUCUUUAUGUUUGAAAUACAUUCGUUUGCAGCAGAAACUAUAUCGCCAUGCCAAUUUCUAUAAAUAUGUCUAAAACUUGUCCAUUCCCAAUGCCAAACAGAAGCACCAUAGUUUAUACACACCAGGGCUGGUCGAGGCCAUGCUUGAGUUGAUGAUGUAACCUCAUUAGUGAGUUAAAGGGAUGAUUUUAAUGAAGAGACUAUGAAGUUUGGUGAGCAAUCUUAGCGGAUCCAUAGGUGCCUCCCCCACUAGAUUCCCCAAAGGAUUAACAUAAACCAAAUAUGCUAGUUGAUGAUAUUUUUUGAGGGGCCCUUAUUAAGUCACAUGAAAAGAUAAGGUUAUGGAGACAUUACCUUUAAGAGGGGAUAUUUGCCAUAUUUGUUUAACAAAUGAAUAAUUCUUGAAUAUAAAGGAGUCCCCACACCAAGUAGAACUGUAUUAUUUCAAUAGAACUAGUCCAAGC
rnacentral:lncRNA from 1 species